AUUGAACGCUGGCGGCAUGCCUUACACAUGCAAGUCGAACGGCAGCACGGGUGCUUGCACCUGGUGGCGAGUGGCGAACGGGUGAGUAAUACAUCGGAACAUGUCCUGUAGUGGGGGAUAGCCCGGCGAAAGCCGGAUUAAUACCGCAUACGAUCUACGGAUGAAAGCGGGGGACCUUCGGGCCUCGCGCUAUAGGGUUGGCCGAUAGCUGAUUAGCUAGUUGGUGGGGUAAAGGCCUACCAAGGCGACGAUCAGUAGCUGGUCUGAGAGGACGACCAGCCACACUGGGACUGAGGCACGGCCCAGACUCCUACGGGAGGCAGCAGUGGGGAAUUUUGGACAAUGGGCGAAAGCCUGAUCCAGCAAUGCCGCGUGUGUGAAGAAGGCCUUCGGGUUGUAAAGCACUUUUGUCCGGAAAGAAAUCCUUGGCUCUAAUACAGUCGGGGGAUGACGGUACCGGAAGAAUAAGCACCGGCUAACUACGUG
rnacentral:rRNA from 1 species